AGAGAGAGAGAGAGAGAGAGAGAGAGAGAGAGAGAGAGAGAGGGAGAGACAGCCUCAGUAUAUAUCUUGCCAGUUGUGAGAGAGGAAGAAAUCUCUCUCUCUCUCUCUCUCUCUUUCUCUCUCUCAGUGUUUAUCUCUCACUUUCUUUAAACAGGAAGGUCGACGAAGGAGAGAAACAGGAAAACGAAGAGAAAAUAAUAAAAUAAAUAAAUAAACAAAUAAAUAAACAAAUAGAUAAAUAAAUAGAACCACAAUAUGCCGGACCGUACCUUGCCCCCCUCCCCCCCAUACGCCAAGGCCCCCCCGCCCCCCCUGCCCCCCACCACAAGGGGUCCCCCUCCUUAAAAAUCCCUAAAGUGUUGAAGUCAUUCCAGAAAAAACAAGAAAAAUACCCAAAAAUUGAAAAAAAUCCAAGUACCACCACCAUCACCACCACGACCACCACCAGCACCACCACAACUACAAGCAUUUGCAUCAGUACCACCACCACCACCACCAUCGCGCUGCUGCUGCUGCUGCUGCUACUACUGCUACUACUACUGGUGUUAAGAAGGUGGUGCGCCCCCCGCCCCCCCCUAAGAGUGUUUCCAAGGGGCACAGAGAGGAGGGCAAGGGUGGUGGUGGUGGUGGUGGUGGUGCUGGUGGUGGUGCUGGUGGUUGUGGUGGUGGUGGUGCUGGUGGUGACGUGUUUCUGCACUCUGGUAAGAUGACCACCACCACCACGACCCUCCCCACCACCACCUCCAUCUAUCCCACCCUCCCUGAUCCCACCUCCCCCUCUCUUAUCGCCCCUCCCUCCCUCCCCACCCCCAUCCUGGCACCCCCACCUACACCCACCCUCUCCCCGACCCUCCCUCCACCCGCCCUGACCCUCCCCGCCCCUUCCUUGCCGCCGGAGAGUGAACUGAGUGACCUUUUAACGUGUCCUGUGUGUAUGGAGGAGUACGGAGGAGGAGGAGGAGGAGGAGGAGGAGGAGGAGGAGGAGGAGGAGGAGGAGGAGGAGGAGGAGGAGGAGGAGGAGGAGGAGAGCCGCUCUUCCUCCACUGCCACCAUAGUCUGUGCCGCACCUGUCUACCAAAGUUGAUUAAGACUCACCUGACGAAGGGAGGAAGGGAACAGGCGGAGGUGAUGUGUCCCGAGUGCAGAGUCGUCACGCUGGUUCCGUCAGGCGGCUUGACUCAAAAUUUCUAUCUUGUGAGUCUGAUCGAGGCGAGGAAGAGGAGACCCAAGGAAGCGAACAGUCGGCUGAGAAUGUGGUGCGCCACGUGCGGGGGUGUGGCGCUGGACAGGUGUGCUGACCACCGCCUCUCGCACCUGAGUCACGUGCUGCAGAGUCUCACCACCCACUUCCAGACGCAACACGGCAACACCGCAGCCAUGUUGAAGAGGAGAGUGAGAGAGGAGGGAGAGAAAGUGAGGGAGGUGCAGGAGGCAAUGGAGGAGUUGGAGAGAGCUUCCUGCUACGUCAGAGAGAAACUGGAGGAAAGACUGGAGAGAAGUUCCCUCCACCAUGCCACGGUUACCUCACUUCUCAUGGAGGUGAAUGAAAUGAAAAAAAAGUCGGACACAAAGGGGGGUCGGAGGGGCCCGGAACUCCCCCUCCCCCUUCCCCCUCCUCAACCGGACCGGAAUUAUCAGGAUUCGGUUCACUGCGACCAUCCACCGGUUCCGAAGGGUCGAGCCUCACAAGAUCAGUGUCCUGUGUUGACAGCUACGGAUCAAAUGCGGAUAAAUUCGGAUGCGGUUCUGAUAAAUGGAGCUACACUUUGGAUAGAUACGGUUGCGGAUUGAACAGAUACGGUUCUGGCUUGGAUAAGUUUGGUUCCGGUUCGGAUAAGCUGGAAUACGGUUUAGGUUUGGACAGAUUCACUUCUACUUCUGAUAAGUUGAGCUCCACUUCGGAUAAACUAGCUUACAGUCCGGAUAAGUUCACUCCAGGAACCGAAAGAUCAAAAUCACUACCCGAAAAAUACAACAUUGAAUUUGGAAGCACCGAAUUCGCUUUGGAGAGAGAAAUAUCCGGAUUUGGGACCAGAACCGGACUGGAUAGACACGUCACCGGACUGGAACGAUCGAAUUCUAGUCCAGCAAAGUACCGAAGUGAUCCUGGAAAUUACAAUCCGGAUAAACGAGACAGUACGGAUAAGCUGGAAAAAGCGACUGAAAAACCGAAUUUUGUGGCUGAAAAACACGAAUUUGGAAGCGAAAAACGAGCACAGGGGCCGGAAAACUUAAGAUUCGGAUUGGAAAAGAGCGCAACCGGAUCCGAACUCGGGAAAUUCGAGCUAUACAAAGAAAUGAACAAAAACACGAAAAAUUUUGCCACAGAAAAAGAUUUUGAAGACGAGAAACAAGAAUUCGGAUGCGAUAAACUGACACAGGGGCCGGAAAACGCACGAUUCGGGUUAGACAAGCAUGCAACCGUAUCCGAACCGCGCCUGGCAACCUCGAACACCCACAAAUUAACCGGAAAACGGGAAACAGACAUAGAAAAACCCCGGCAGUUCACCAAGACCUCAUCAGACGGAGGAGAGAUGGAAGGAAAAAUCUUUCUCCUGAAGGCGUGUCUCUCCUCUCUCCGCGAUGUGGAGGGAAAGGUGGAGGGGCUGGAGGCGGUGGGAGGGAAGGGAGGGGCGAGGGAGACCAGGGGGAGGGAGGAAAGGGAGAUAAACAGUCAUUCUCUAAUAAAUAUGUUCGAACGGGCAGUGAGAAUACUAGGGGACGUGUGAAGGGUCAAGGAGAGAGAGAGAGAGAGAGAGAGAGAGAGAGAGAGAGAGAGAGAGAGAGAGAGAGAGAGAGAGAGAGAGAAUAAUAACAACAACAACAACAACAACAAUAACUACUACAACAACUACUACUACUACUACUUCACAUUGCUUUGAAUCUAGACAAUAUUUUAAAAGUCUCUCUCUCUCUCUCUCUCUCUCUCUCUCUCUCUCUCUCUCUCUCUCUCUCUCUUGUUUACAUUGCUAAUAAUUGCCUUAGAUUAGCAACUGCAAGCAUUUUGUGAGCUAUUUCUUUCUCCCUCUGAUUAAAUCUCUCUCUCUCUCUCUCUCUCUCUCUCUCUCUCUCUCUCUCUCUCUCUCUCUCUCUCUCUCUCUGAAAACGAAAGAAAGAAAGAAAGAAAAUGAUCAUGUGUCUAUCUUAAAUUCUCUCUCUCUCUCUCUCUCUCUCUCUCUCUCUCUCUCUCUCUCUCUCUCUCUCUCUCUCUCUCUCUCUGUAUGACCUAACCUAACCUAACAAUACUUGAAUAACUCUUUAAAUAUAACGUAUACAUAUAGAUUAAAAUAUGUAUGUAUGUAUGUAUGUAUGUAUGUAUGUAUGUAUUAAUGGAUAAAUAGCUAUUAUAUUUGUAUGUAUAUAGUAUGUAUGUAUGUAUGUAUGUAUGUAUGUAUUAAUGGAUAAAUAGCUAUUAUAUUUGUAUGUAUAUAGUAUGUAUGUAUGUAUGUAUGUACGUAUGUAUGUAUUAAUGGAUAAAUAGCUAUUAUAUUUGUAUGUAUAUAGUAUGUAUGUAUGUAUGUAUGUAUGUAAGCUAUGAAUUCUCACUGUAUGAAGAGAUAUGUAUACUUGAAUGUGUUAUGUAUAGGAAAAUUAGUUUUAAAUGUAUGUAUGUAUGUAUGUAUGUACGUAAAUAUUAGCAUGUAUAUUAGCUAUGUAUACCAAUAUGUUUACUAGUACUGUCACUGUCACCAUGUAUACCCACUGUGUAUGUAUUUCCUAGUAUACUCAAUAUGUAUGGCAAUUAAAAUAGUACAUACAUACAUACAUACAUAGGGAAAUCUGUGUCUAUGUAGUUAUGUAUGAAUAUUGUAUUAGUAGUUAGUUAUAGUGAUUUAAUAAAUAUACAUGAUUAUACAUACGAAAAUCUGUGUAUUAGUGAUUAAAUGUAUAUUAAAUGUGUAUCUCCCUGUGGUUCAGUGUGUAUCUCUCCCUGUGGUUCAGUGUGUAUCUCCCUGUGGUUCAGUGUGUAUCUCCCUGUGUGUAUCUCCCUGUGGUUCAGUGUAUAUCUCCCUGUGUAUAUCUCCCUGUGGUUCAGUGUAUAUCUCCCUGUGUAUAUCUCCCUGUGGUUCAGUGUAUAUCUCCCUGUGUAUAUCUCCCUGUGGUUCAGUGUAUAUCUCCCUGUGUAUAUCUCCCUGUGGUUCAGUGUGUAUCUCCCUGUGUGUAUCUCCCUGUGGUUCAGUGUGUAUCUCCCUGUGUGUAUCUCCCUGUGGUUCAGUGUGUAUCUCCCUGUGUCUAUCUCCCUGUGGUUCAGUGUAUAUCUCCCUGUGUGUAUCUCCCUGUGGUUCAGUGUAUAAUGUAUAGUGAUUGAAAGGUGGGUGAAUAUACAUCACUGUUUAUGUAUGUAUGUAUGUAUGUGUGUAUGGAUGUGUGUAUGUGUGUAUGUAUGUAUGUGUGUAUGUGUGUAUGUGUGUAUAGAUUAGAAGGGUGUGUGUAUGUAUGUAUUUGUGUAUGUGUGUAUGUGUGUAUGUGUGUAUAGAUUAGAAGGGUGUGUGUAUGUAUGUAUGUGUGUAUGUGUGUAUGUGUGUAUAGAUUAGAAGGGUGUGUUUUGUAUGUAUGUAUGUGUAAAGGUAUUGAUUUUGUGGCUUAUUCAAUAAAAAUAUACAGUUAUUAUUA